AGCCCGGUCGUCUAGCGGACAAGGAUAGAGGGCUUUGGACCCUCCGACGCGAGUUCGAAUCUCGCCCGGGCUACCA
rnacentral:tRNA from 1 species